ensembl:lncRNA
UUUAAUUCUGUAAUAGGCCUGAGAGUGAAUAGUUUUGUUCAGGUUAAUGUGGUCUAACGUUGCCUUUGUCAAUGCGAAGGAUACUAAAUUAUUUCUAGGUCAUAUAAUUAUCUUCCAGAGAUAGUUACAUUUCAAGGGACAUUUUUCAAAGGAGUAAACAAAAGAUGUCUAGGGAAAACAGCCAUUUUUUUCAACAUUUUGUGAGCUUUCACAAACUCAAUUUCUUUUAAACGGAGUAAAUUAUACACCACUCAAGAGUAUCAUUCUUUUAAUGAUUUUAUGGCUCUGACUUGUAACUUCAGGAUAUUUAUUUGAAGCUUUCGGGAGUUUAAAAUAAUGUUCAGAAACAUCGCAGAAUCAGUUUUAUCACCAAGCUCUUACAUGAGGACAAAACUGAUUUUAAAACUAGCACUGUGGCAGGUUAGUGGACAUCCCUAUUCUGGUAAAUUCUAACCAGAAACCUGGUAUAUACUGGACACAUUUAAUCAUCCAGAAACGACCUGAAAUUUGUAGCUUCUGCUUCAGCAAUACCUGAACCAUGGACUUCCAGAUGUUCAAGCUGGUUUUAGAAAAGGCAGAGGAACCAGAGAUCAAACUGCCAACAUCUGCUGGAUCAUGGAAAAAACAAGAGAAUUUCAGAAAAACUCUGCUUUAUUGACUAUGCCAAAGCCUUUGACUGUGUGGAUCACAAUAAACUGGAAAAUUCUGAAAGAGAUGGGAAUACCAGACCACCUGACUUGCCUCUUGAGAAACCUAUAUGCAGGUCAGGAAGCAACAGUUUAGAACUGGACAUGGAACAACAGACUGGUUCCAAAUAGGAAAAGGAGUACAUCAAGGCUGUAUAUUGUCACCCUGCUUAUUUAACUUCUAUGCAGAGUACAUCAUGAGAAACGCUGGGCUGGAAGAAGCACAAGCUGGAAUCAAGAUUGCUGGGAGAAAUAUCAAUAACCUCAGAUAUGCAGAUGACACCACCCUUAUGGCAGAAAUUUGAAGAGGAACUAAAAAACUUCUUGAUGAAAGUGAAAGAGGAG